rnacentral:misc_RNA from 1 species
GCAAAAGAGGCAACGUUCGAGGCAUGUCAUAUAUCUCCUCGAAGGCAUCAUAAAAACUACGUUUUUGGUGGUUGCUGAUAAAAUCAUCAUCUUCAGCAGCAGCAGCAGCAGCAUAAUUUGUUCCUGUAGAGAGCCAUGGAUGAACCAUACCCUGAUUCAUGAUUAUCAAUUGGCGUGAGCUACGAGCAGCAUCCUUAUUAGGGUCGAAAACAUAGCUAUUUAGGUCCAAACCCUUGAUGGUAUCCGUUGGAAGAGCGAGACCCAGUUGA